rnacentral:lncRNA from 1 species
GUAAACUUCAAUUUAAGAAGAGAAUAGAAACUGCAAAACACAAACAUCACCUCCAACUCCCUAGUAGCCCAGAGAACCUACAAAACUGCAAACUUUCAUCGGUUGCUUCCUUUGGCCUCACUGCAGCUCAAGAGGUAGGGACUCUCUGGAUUCACUGAUGGGAAGCCACUGAGCCAAGCACACACAGAAACCCAGGGACAGUGACUUCCCAGUAGUCACUGCAGAACCGGGGGUUCUCCUCCAGCUCCCUGGCUGGGAGCUGGUGAGGUCAGGCUUGGGGAACGUCUGUGCAACCGCAAGGCAGGAGUUAAUGACUGAGGAGCUUGGAAUGUGGUGGUUCUGAAAGGGCCUCUUGUGGCCCCACGGUUAGAGCAGGAAGGGACUUUCAAGUCACGUACACACACUGCACUGGAGUCCUGGGCCCUGCUCUGCUGCUACAGUGUGAGGAGAAGGCAGGGUAAUCUCUUUUGUAGCAGGAGGAUGUAUGCAGUCAGGUUGGACCCAGCACUCUGGCAUCACAGGCGUUCACUACCACCACCACCACUACCACACCUGUUUCUGUGACGUUAUCGUAUGUAUAUCUCCAGCAAUCCUGAGACGUAGUUAUCACUAUGUCUCCAUUUCACAAACGAGGAAACAGGAGCUCAGAGAGAUUGGGUGAGUCAUCCAGGACAUGCAGUGGAUGGUCAGCCUGUCCAGAAUUCAAACCCAGAACCCAGAGCUUUCUGAGUCCACCAUGUACGUAUUCAUAUUCUUUCUGUGGUCUCACUGCUCCCAAGACUCUUCUCUCUCCCUCCUCUACCCCCCACCCCAUGCACACACCUGCAUUUCUCUUUCUGGCAAACUGCUAUGAUUUCUCUCCAGGAAGACAGGCAUUUCAUAGAAUUGGAGCAAGGGAAAGGCACUAGGCUAGUGACCUUCUGCAGAUGCUGCG